GCCUGGCUGGCUCAGUCGGUAAAGCAUGAAACUUUUGAUCACAGGGUCAUGAGUUCAAGCCCCAUGUUGGGCA